UACGAAGGGAGCUAGCGUUGUUCGGAAUCACUGGGCGUAAAGCGCACGUAGGCGGAUUUGUAAGUCAGGGGUGAAAUCCCGGGGCUCAACCUCGGAACUGCCUUUGAUACUGCAAAUCUCGAGUCCGGAAGAGGUGAGUGGGAAUUCCUAGUGUAGAGGUGAAAUUCGUAGAUAUUAGGAAGAACACCAGUGGCGAAGGCGGCUCACUGGUCCGGUACUGACGCUGAGGUGCGAAAGCGUGGGGAGCAAACAGGG
rnacentral:rRNA from 1 species